GCUGGGUGUAGGUGGAGUCACCCCGGGGCCUGGACGGGAGCCUGGUGGGGUCAGCCCCCGUCGAGCGGCCUGGAUCAUGGCUGUGUGGGGAGUGGGAGGCCGCCUAGGCCUGCGCGGGUGUCUCGGCGCCGGCAGGCUCUUAAGUCCCCGUUUCCAGAGCCGCGGCCCUCAGGACGUGGAAGACGGGGACAGGCUACAGCCUUCCUUGAGGACACCCAAGAUCCCAAAGAUCUACACCAAAACAGGAGACAAAGGGUUUUCUAGCACCUUCACUGGAGAAAGGAGACCCAAAGAUGACCAAGUGUUUGAAGCCGUGGGAACUACAGAUGAAUUAAGUUCAGCUAUCGGGUUUGCUAUGGAAUUAAUCGAGGAAAAGGGCCACACCUUUGCUGAAGAGCUUCAGAAAAUCCAGUGUGUGCUGCAGGACGUCGGCUCCGCCCUGGCGACUCCGCGCUCCUCGGCCAGGGAAGCUCACUUAAAGCACACCGCAUUCGAGGCAGGGCCCAUCCUGGAGCUCGAGCAGUGGAUCGACAGAUACACCAGCCAGCUGCCCCCGCUCACGGCCUUCAUCCUGCCCUCGGGGGGCAAGAGCAGCUCUGCGUUGCAUUUCUGUCGGGCCGUGUGCCGCCGAGCAGAGAGAUGCGUGGUGCCUCUCGUCCAGAUGGGAGAGACUGACGCCAACGUGGCCAAGUUCUUAAACAGACUCAGCGACUACCUCUUCACGUUGGCCAGAUACGCAGCCAUGAAGGAGGGGAAUCGAGAAAAAAUCUACAAGAAAAGCGACCCAUAGGACUGAGCCCGAGGCCUCUUUGAGAUAACAGAAAGGGGGAGAUUUGUGGACCCCUCCAUGGCGAUGGCGGGGAAGGGAAGAGCUUGCCCUUCCCUUGUCCUGGUUCCUGAAGGUCCCCCCAGCAGGGCAGGAAGCAGCCCUCUGUCCCGGCUCAGCUUUGUUGCCCACCCCCUGCCACUUCUCUCCAGGGACCGUGGCCCUCUGAGGAUGCUGCCCCGUCCCCAGGCUUGGAGGGCAGUGGGAAUGAACUCAGUAUCGUCGGCAAGGACGUUGUCACCACCGCUCCCUCCCGCUAUGAAACGACACUGCCAGUGCCAGCUGUGUCCUUGGGAAGGGGAUAUUUAUGAAGGGCAGAGAGGCAGCCCGGAGAACCUAAAGAUUCCACGCUGCUAAUUGCAGGAAAUGAAUUCCAAAGGGCAGGCGCUUGCGACCGGAGGGGCGCACACGCCUGGCGCAGUCGUCAUUUACUGACGGGGUGCCCGCUCAGCAUGGCCACCACGCUGGGCUCGGGAAGCCCGGUCAUGCUGGCCACUGUCCUUGCUGGCAAGUCGGCAAAGGUUAAAGUCUCGGCUGUGCGCGUCGUUUUGCCUUCGUUCCUGCCACCUCGCCGCUAACUUUGCAGGCAGGGCAGGCACGUGUGUGCCUUCUGGGUGCUUUCAAUGCCGACAGUGCUGAUGACCUCGAGCGAAUGUCCUCCAGGGGGUGGCCCUGUCCAGUGCCUCCCACUCCGUAGUCAGUGCCAGGUGUGGUACAGAGUAGGUGCUUAGUAUUUGCAAACAGAACUGCACACGGGGAGAUCGCGAGUGUUCGGGAGAAGCUGAUGGCGGUUAACUGCCGAGCGGGCGGCCCCCGCUGCGAGAGCUCGCAGAACUGCUCCAUUCUGCCUGCGCCUCCACGUCUUCCUGGACAGCGCAGGAUGGACAUAAUAAAGCGACAGCCCCACAAUCCUAGCCAUGGUAAAGCACAGCCUACAAAGGACGAGGAACGCUCUCUGAGUAAAUACAACGUCCUCAAGCGACAGUCUUUGAAACAAGGCCUUUGCCUGUUGCCAAGUCCUGUCCCCACCUGGCCUUCCAGGAGCGGCUGAAUUACAGGCCAGACGUUAACGCUGGUUCUCAGGCCCCCGCCUCUGUAUCUGUCGUCCAGUUCACCAGCAAACGCUCCCCUGAGAGAUGGCCCAGGUGCAGGGCAGACGCCACAUCUUGGCAGGUUUUCUCCCUCUGCUGGAAAAACUGAGAAGGCUGGCUUUGGGGCCAGGAGGAUGGGUUGCGUGAAGCAUUUGCUCUUCCAUGGUGCAUUAUGAAGCUAUUUUAGAGGUCAAGGCAAAAGGAAAAAUGUGGACCCCUCUGUACCCUGACCAAAGCGUCCUCCCAUAAUUGGAACCAGGUGGGAAGUUAAUAAAAGUUCUAUCAAAAAACCGGUCUAUUGAUAAAGCCUGUGUUGCCCCUUGUGUUCAGCCCUCAUCAACGAUCAUUCCCAUAGCGCAGUAAUGUGGGGUUGUGAAACAAACAGCAGCCUCUUUUUACAUAAAAUCGUGGCCCCUUGUUUAUCAUAGUUUUUUUUUUUUCAUAACUUGAUUUUUGAAAAUAUUGCAUGGAAAUAUUUCUGGAUCGCUGAGUUCGCUGGCACUCCCCUGCAUUUUGCACCCACAACAGUGCCUCACCCAGGUGCAGCUUGGGUUCCCUGGGACACACUGCAUAGCAUCCUUACCAGAGGCGAGCCGGUGGUUGGAUCUGAAGACAAGCCCAAGGGUGACAGUGACACCAGCCAAGUUGUAGGAGGGGCCCCUGGCCAAGCGCUCUGCAGAUGUUAUCUCAUUUAAACCUCAGAGCAACCCUGGGAGGAGGCACUCGAGGCGACCCACUUUGCAGGUGAGGAAACUGAGGCGUAGAGAGGGGAACCGAGCUGUCCCGGUGAGUCGGUGCCAAAACGUGGGCCCAGGCCGUGGCCUCAUGACUCCCACCCUACUGCCACUUGACAGUCAUGUUAAUCACAACCUGGAUUGCAGCGAACAACGCCAGGCACCCAUAGAUCCUGAUGUCUCGUUUCUCAACCUACUUUCCCUUAAUUUAUAUUUCACGGCUAUUGUUAAUGUGCAUUUUUCACCAAGUAAUUUCCACAGCCCGAACUUGUAACGCAUCCCGGUGACAAACGUCCCUGGUUCCGAAUCCCCCGUCAGCUGCAAUUUCAACCUUGCCUCCUUCCGACAGCCCAUCCAGUUUUAUGAUCGCUCUGUCCCAGUGAUCACUACUGAACCUUUAAGAAUCCAGACACAUUUCAAGUUUAAUUGAAUAAAAUUCUUUGUAUAAUAAAUUCCGCACGAGUG